GAGCAGACACCUUUGCGCUGGAUCAUCUCAGAGCGGAUGGAGAGCGCGUCCUCUGCCGUGGAGCUCUCAGCCGUGUAGGACGUGGUCUGGCUGCAGAAGGAGAUGCUAUCAUCAUCUGGCCCGGUGCGGGAAGACUGUUGGGAGAAGAAGGAUCAACCCAGAGACAUCAGACAGGUAUGCUGAGCCAGGCCCCUGACUUUGCGAGCUGAAAGCAUCGCUGGACGGGGAGGGAGGCAGUUACCUUGGUGCUGGAGGGAACGGAGCCCCUCCUGGGCCUGCGUGUGUAACUCUUCCAGGUGAGGCGGUCGCCCACUGGGGAAGAAGACAUUGUCCUGGUGGUCAUCCACUACAGAACCUGGACCCUGGCCGGGCCCUACACUCAGUCGUUUGUCGCUCUCGGCCUUGGCAGAGCCUGGUGGGAUGAAGGAGGAAGGAAACCCAUUCCUCAACAGCUGAGCUCCUGCCCAGGGAAUCCUCAGGAAACCCACAAGGUCAGAGAGCCCGAGGAGCGCCGGGAGGUGGCGGCCCAGGAACACCACCAUGACCGCAGGCACCACUGGGGUCGUCCCCUACGCUGACCUCUCCAGAACACCCGGCGACGCCUUCUUCGCCAGAACCCAGCGCUGA